rnacentral:rRNA from 1 species
GAUGAACGCUGGCGGCGUGCCUAAUACAUGCAAGUCGAACGGACAGACCAGGCUCUUGCGGCGUUGACGUGAGCGGCGGGGGGGUGAAUAACACGUGUAUAACCCACCUAUAAGAGUGGUAAAACCUCGGGAAACCGGCGCUUACACCGGAGAAUAUAUUGAACCGCAGGGGGCAAUAGUGAAAGACGGUGGUUGGGUCAGUUAUAGAUGGAUCCGCGCCGCAUUAGCUAGUUGGUAAGGUAACGGCUUAUCAAGGCAACGAUGCGUAGCCGACGUGUGGGGGUGAUCGGCGGCACUGGAACUGAGCCGCGGACCUGAGUCCUACGGGAGGGCGCAGUAGGGUACGUUACGCAAUAGGCGAGAGCAUGGCGGAGCAACGCCGCGUGAGUGGUGGAGGUCUUCGGAUCGUAAUGAUCUGUUUCUAGGGGAGAACAACUGUGUACGUAAAUGUGCCCGGAUUGACGGUACCUAGUCAGAAAGCAACGGCUAACUACGUG